rnacentral:rRNA from 1 species
AAAUAACAGUACGCAAUGUUCGCGUAUCGUCUCCGACUACACUACUGUCUUGCGCAUAAUGAUGCUUAAAUAUGGCUGAUCUGACGGGAAGCCUUGAACCAUCAUAUUAUGACCGUUAUU